ensembl:ncRNA T22B2.11 ncRNA
UAUGUUAUUUAUGUCCGUCCGCAAAACUUCGAAGACACAUGACUGAAUGAAACUGUUUGUUACAAAAUGAUUGAUUAGAGGGGGGGGGGGGGGGGGUAGAACUAAAACUGGAAGGGCUCUGAAUACCAAAUACCAGAACCAAAUUUUU